UGCUUCUCUUGAGAGCGGCGGACGGGUGAGUAAUGCCUAGGAAUCUGCCUGGUAGUGGGGGAUAACGUCCGGAAACGGACGCUAAUACCGCAUACGUCCUACGGGAGAAAGCAGGGGACCUUCGGGCCUUGCGCUAUCAGAUGAGCCUAGGUCGGAUUAGCUAGUUGGUGGGGUAAUGGCUCACCAAGGCGACGAUCCGUAACUGGUCUGAGAGGAUGAUCAGUCACACUGGAACUGAGACACGGUCCAGACUCCUACGGGAGGCAGCAGUGGGGAAUAUUGGACAAUGGGCGAAGGCCUGAUCCAGCCAUGCCGCGUGUGUGAAGAAGGUCUUCGGAUUGUAAAGCACUUUAAGUUGGGAGGAAGGGCAGUAAAUUAAUACUUUGCUGUUUUGACGUUACCGACAGAAUAAGCACCGGCUAACUCUGUGCCAGCAGCCGCGGUAAUACAGAGGGUGCAAGCGUUAAUCGGAAUUACUGGGCGUAAAGCGCGCGUAGGUGGUUCGUUAAGUUGGAUGUGAAAUCCCCGGGCUCAACCUGGGAACUGCAUUUCAAAACUGACGAGCUAGAGUAUGGUAGAGGGUGGUGGGAAUUU
rnacentral:rRNA from 1 species